rnacentral:rRNA from 1 species
CUACGCCUACAUGAAGCUGGAGUUGCUAGUAAUCGCGAAUCAGCAUGUCGCGGUGAAUACGUUCCCGGGCCUUGUACACACCGCCCGUCACACCAUGAGAGUUGGGAAUACCCGAAGCCUGUGAGCUAACUUUUAGAGGCAGCAGUCGAAGGUAGAAUCAAUGAUUGGGGUGAAGUCGUAACAAGGUACC